UACGAAGGGGGCUAGCGUUGCUCGGAAUCACUGGGCGUAAAGGGUGCGUAGGCGGGUCUUAAGUCAGAGGUGAAAUCCUGGGGCUCAACUCCAGAACUGCCUUUGAUACUGAGGAUCUUGAGUUCGGGAGAGGUGAGUGGAACUGCGAGUGUAGAGGUGAAAUUCGUAGAUAUUCGCAAGAACACCAGUGGCGAAGGCGGCUCACUGGCCCGAUACUGACGCUGAGGCACGAAAGCGUGGGGAGCAAACAGG
rnacentral:rRNA from 1 species